AUUCAGGAAGACCUGUGAGGGCCCCAAUCCAAACGAUAAGCUGAAGGAAAAUUGUGACGCGAAGUUCAAGAGGGUUCAGCAAUUUGUGAUGUACAUGGCAAAGGACGAGAUUUACCCUUCCACUCUCGCUUUCCUGAAAAACCAUGACAAGAUGAGGAGAUGGGUUCAGACCCUUCAGAAGAACAAGGACAUCGCCACGGUCACCAACUACACCUUGACUAUCGGUGCAUUUCUUCAAUACGCCGAGGAGACCCCCCCACCUGGCUGCCGGCUGACCAGAAACCAAUGGAGUGGGAUCAACCGGGUGAUGAAGGGAGUAGCUUCACCAGGCGAAGGU